rnacentral:rRNA from 1 species
UUCCCGGGCCUUGUACACACCGCCCGUCACACCACGAAAGUUGGCAAUACCCGAAGCCGGUGGCCUAACCCGCAAGGGAGGGAGCCGUCGAAGGUAGGGUCGAUGAUUGGGGUGAAGUCGUAACAAGGUACCC